CGUGGAAAUUGCAAAGAUCUACCUUAUUUUCCUUUCUUCUCCUCUCUCUUCUUUUUUUAGGACGAGGUUUCAUGUAGCCCAGGCUGGCCUCUAAUUCACUAUGUAAUGAAGAUAACCUUGAACUUCUCAUCCUUCUGUUCUGUGAUGUAGCCUGUGUUAGGACUGUAGGCUUAUAGCACUGUACCAAGUUUGUCCAGUGCUUGGGCGGGGCGGGGCCAGGGGUGGGGGUGGUCAAACCUAGAACUUCACACAAGCCAGGCAAGCACUCUACCAGCUGAACCUCAUUCCCCAGCCCUUUCUUUUUCUUUUCCUCUUCCUUUGCUUUUCUUUUUAAUUUUGGAAACAGGAUCGAUAGACAAGACUCACCUUAAAUUUGUGAUCCUCCUGCCUCAACCUCCAGAGUGCUGGGAAUGCAGGCUGCAUCACCCCAAACUGCUGCUGGUCGAUAGCUCCACCUACUGUCACUCCACAUUCCAAGUGACACAUGUCCAACGGGGAAUUGGGGAUUGAUGCUCCCAAGUCCACCACACACACCCCAUUGCCACAGUGUCUCUCUAUCCUUCUAUUCAGUACCAGAACCUUGGUGCCACCACAAGCUCUUUCUUCCAUUGCCCCCAUAGUCAGUGUGCCAGGACGUCUUACUAGCUUUGUCUUCAGAAUAUAUCCAGACUCUAGUGUCUGUUUCCACCAUCCCAGCCUGAACAACCAACCACCCUGUCCUACUCACACAAUCACAGUAGUUGUUAAAUGGUUCCCCUCGCCCCAGCUUCUGCCCCCUACAGUCCACCCUUAACACAGCAGCCAGAGGGCUGUUGUUAAGAUCUAGGUGGGAUCCUGUCAAAGCUGAUGCCUCUUGGUCCUACCUGUGUGAUCUACCCCCCUGCCUUCCUUCCAGGCCUCAGAUUCUUCUUCCCCCUUCAUUCUUGACCAACACAUCUUGAUCUCCUUGCAGAUCCUCAAGCCAAGCCCGUUCUUACCUCAGGCCCUAUGCCUUCCUUGGCUGUCUCCUCUGCCUAGAGUAGUGUUCUUUAGAAGUGAUGGCUCAAUUUAUCUCCUUCAUAGGCCUUGGCUGCCUUUUCAGGGGGCUUAAUAGACUAUUACUUUAAAACUGAAGGGCUGAGGGCAUAGUUCAGUUCACUAACCCCUAGGUUUGGGCCCCUGGCCUGAAUGAACGGGAUAUGGUAGAGCCUGCCUGCAAUGCCAGCAUUUGAGAGAUGGGAGCAGGAACAUCAGAAGUUUGAGGUCAUUCUUUGCCGCAAGCUCUGCCUCAAUCUGAUCAAGCACCAUAGCCAGCUCCCCAAGGAUCUUCUUCAGGUAGCUCACAUCAUCGUGCUCCAGGAUCUUGGCCUACAGGCAGGAGAGGCAGCUGCUCAAGCAGGAGCUGAUCUCAAGGGAGCCAUGAUAUCCAGAGAUGGAGUAUUGCCUACCACCCCCUGCACAAGCCUGCCUUCAAAUACCCUCUCCAGUAUAUGGCAUGGCCCUCUGUUACAGUGCACCCUCCCCCAGGACCGAACCAAUCCCAUCAUCUUGGCCACCUUGCCCACAUUCCCUGGCACAAGGCUGGAGCAGUGCUGCCACUGCUGUGUGCUAGGUGACCAAUGUUCUUUUCCCAGAGAAUGUCUGUCUGCCAAUGAGGAGCCAUCUUGCUUAGAAGCACAAGGAAGAUGAUCCCCAUCCCACCAGGUGGUCUGUAGUCAAUGGCUACUGAUAUUGGGGUAUUAAAGCAUGGCCAGCUAUAGGGUGCCUUUUACAUUCCAGAGCUUUCUGUGGGGUCAGAUGGAACUCAGCCAAAUCCCCUUCCCUACCUCUCCCAUGUCCUUGGGGGCACUCUGUCCAUACUGUCUGAUGCAAGGACCUGUGUUCAGGGCUCUGCUUGCAGAGACAAUAUAAACCAGAGGCUGUGGGGAGGUCUGUGGAGGGGAGUGGUGGCUUGCCGUGGCCACGAUAUGGUAGAGGAGAUAUGAUUGGAGGAUCAAACCACUUGUGUUUUCCAGGUCAAAGCAUCUGCUGAUCCUCCAUUUAGAGCUUUCUUCCAGUAGGAGGGAGGGGACAUAGGCAGGGCACUCACCAUAGCUGUCCCUGUCUGUGAGAGGAGGGGAUGUAGGCAGGCACUCACCAUAAGUUUCUUCUGCUUGGAAAGAUAGGGCUCAGAGAGCUGUGGUUCCUCCUCGUGGUCCAGUUUCAUGAGGUCUGUAGUGGCAUUGGCCAAAUGUCCUGGAACAGAACACGAAAGGUCCUGUCUCCCUGCUCCCCAGGUCCUCUCCUUCCCACAUGACCAGGAGAGGCCACCUGCCUGGGGCACAAAGGGCCAGGAAACCUUGCUGAAGAGGACGAUGUUGCCUUGAGGAGGAGGAGAAGGAGGAAGAGGAGGAGAAGAGGUGAUGCUGGAAAUGUGUAGAACCUGAAACCCAGAGCUGUUCACCUCCCCAGAAUCCCCUCCCCCAGAUGAAGCCGGCCCAGCCUGGGGGUGUCCUCAGAGCCCCUCACCUCCAAUCAGGCCGUGUAGGCUCUUCCUCCAGCACUGUCAGGCUUUUACAUGUCUCAUCCAGACCUCCAUUGCUCAGCACACACCUUGGACCUCUGCCAGGAGAUGCAAGCCUACCAACCACCAACUGGGGCUGCCUCAGGACAACACUGCUCAUCUGUGACCUCUGUGAAAAGCGGCCCUUGCACAGCCUGUAUUGUUUGCCAGAUGUGGUAAUUUGGUGUUGGUGUGUUUAUCUGUCCCGUUGCCUCUGAGCUCAUGCUCAUCUGUAGCCUGAUGAGACCCAGCCCAGGCCUGGAGAGCAGGACUCUGAGUGCGGAAGAAAGGAAGGGGAUGAGCAAGAGUGUGAAAGCUACAGCCACCAGGUAUCUGUCCUCUGAGGCCACCUACUUCCCACCAUGGCCUGAUGGUGUCCAGUAAACACUGUGAGCUCUUCCAGCUCUA